CCCACAACAGGCUUUUUAUUCUUGUAUAUGUUUUACACCAGAACAAGCUUAAACAUCAAUAACACAACUUUGAAUCUUAUAGAUGCAAUAACUAAAGUUCUAAAAACCAUUCUCUGAAAGUCUUGGAUGCAUCUAGUUCUUGGCUUAAUAAUUCAAAUAGGGCUAAUUCCGGAAUCUAAAAGUUUAUAUAGUUAACACACAUGAACCAAAAGCUAAUUUUCCCUGGAGAAAUCCUAAUUUCACAACUUCGAAUCUAGCGAUGCUAAUAGAAGUGGGGCAAAAAAGAUUCGACAUUCAUAAAGUAAAUUCAAAACGAAGCUGAGGGUAACCAAAAAUUCUCAAUGCCCUACACAAGUUUCAGUUGGAGAUUGGAAAUCAAACCUUAGGGCUUUCUUCAG